rnacentral:misc_RNA from 1 species
AUGAAAUUAAACUCUAAGGAUUCAAACGGGGACUUAGUGAAAAGUAACGGCCAUGUCCGAUUUGACUAGUUACGCGAAAAGACAUCACAUGCCCAUACUACGCAACUACGCAGAAAACGAGAGGACACCUAAAGCCCAUUGGGCCAUGCGAAAAGAUAUCACUUGCAGAUACGCCGGCCGGUAUGGUAAUGAGGACUAACUAAAGCCCAUUCUGACGUACGAAACGACUCGCAUGCAGGUAGGCCAUAAUUUGAGGUGUACUCUCUCUUGGAAGUAUCAGAAGGGCCACUCUUGUCUGUGUCCCAGUCCCAGGUGUCUUCUUCUACCUCGUGCUCGUCGUCCCCAUGCACCCCGAUCCAUUAUUAAUCUGGGUCCGAAGUGCAGCCAAGGAUAGGCACAUGGGUCCGCCAUUCGGCGCUGUCGCCGCAUGCAUGCGCACCGGCCACCGUCACCGCCGCUGAUGGUCGAACAACAUAAAACAGAGGUCGAGGUGGAGGGCGGGCGCGCAUCAUUUGUUUCGUCGUGCCGCACACGCACGAGAGCACGAGCAGGAGCAUAUCUGCAUAUGGCACCGCCCGGCCGGACUGCUGCUGCUGGUGCCGGCGAGGACGUGGUGGUUUGGGUCUCGUACGUGGUCGUGCGCUGGCCGGUGGCCGCCGCGCCAGACGACGACGCCGGCGGAAUCACGGACUCACAGGACCCGGACUGGACAUGCAUCGAUCGAUCGAUCGAGGUACAGGUACACAUGGAAC